rnacentral:rRNA from 1 species
CUGAACGCCUCUAAGUCAGAAUCCAUGCCAGAAACGAGAACGGUGCCCGAUUACGCGAGUAUCGAUAGCUUCGGCCUGUACCGUAUAAUUCACUCGGGUUUCCAGAUGAGAUCUGGAGCCUUGUGGUAGAAUAGCAAUUUCGAACAUUGGGCGCAGGAGAUCCUUUGCAGACGACUUAACAAGCAACGGGGUAUUGUAAGCAGUAGAGUAGCCUUGUUGCUACGAUCUGCUGAGAUUAAGCCUUGGUU